rnacentral:rRNA from 1 species
GCAGAGCUUGCUCUGUGGAUCAGUGGCGAACGGGUGAGUAACACGUGAGCAACCUGCCCCGGACUCUGGGAUAAGCGCUGGAAACGGCGUCUAAUACCGGAUACGAGAUUCCACCGCAUGGUGAGUUUCUGGAAAGAUUUUUUGGUCUGGGAUGGGCUCACGGCCUAUCAGCUUGUUGGUGAGGUAAUGGCUCACCAAGGCGUCGACGGGUAGCCGGCCUGAGAGGGUGACCGGCCACACUGGGACUGAGACACGGCCCAGACUCCUACGGGAGGCAGCAGUGGGGAAUAUUGCACAAUGGGCGGAAGCCUGAUGCAGCAACGCCGCGUGAGGGAUGACGGCCUUCGGGUUGUAAACCUCUUUUAGCAGGGAAGAAGCGAAAGUGACGGUACCUGCAGAAAAAGCGCCGGCUAACUACGUGCCAGCAGCCGCGGUAAUACGUAGGGCGCAAGCGUUAUCCGGAAUUAUUGGGCGUAAAGAGCUCGUAGGCGGUUUGUCGCGUCUGCUGUGAAAUCCCGAGGCUCAACCUCGGGUCUGCAGUGGGUACGGGCAGACUAGAGUGCGGUAGGGGAGAUUGGAAUUCCUGGUGUAGCGGUGGAAUGCGCAGAUAUCAGGAGGAACACCGAUGGCGAAGGCAGAUCUCUGGGCCGUUACUGACGCUGAGGAGCGAAAGGGUGGGGAGCAAACAGGCUUAGAUACCCUGGUAGUCCACCCCGUAAACGUUGGGAACUAGUUGUGGGGUCCAUUCCACGGAUUCCGUGACGCAGCU